UACAGAGGGUGCAAGCGUUAAUCGGAAUUACUGGGCGUAAAGCGUGCGCAGGCGGUUUGUUAAGUCCGUUGUGAAAGCCCCGAGCUCAACUUGGGAAUUGCAGUGGAUACUGGCAGGCUGGAGUACGGUAGAGGAAGGUGGAAUUCCCGGUGUAGCAGUGAAAUGCGUAGAUAUCGGGAGGAACACCUGUGGCGAAAGCGGCUCACUGGACCGCAACUGACGCUGAGGCGCGAAAGCUAGGGGAGCAAACAGG
rnacentral:rRNA from 1 species